rnacentral:sRNA from 1 species
UCGCAGGCUGGGACGGGACAGGAGCCGC